rnacentral:sRNA from 1 species
GCUGAGCCCAGCGCUGACACUCACAGGAGCUGCGUUCGCCGGAUCCUCUGAGAGGCUCUGCAACGAUCCCGAUCCAAUUCAGCAGCGUUUUAAAAG